UACAGGGGGUGCAAACGUUGCUCGGAAUCAUUGGGCGUAAAGCGCACGUAGGCGGUUCGUUAUGUCGGAUGUGAAAGCCCUUGGCUUAACCGAGGAACUGCCCUCCAAACUGCGUUGCUUGAGGCCGGGAGAGGUGAGUGGAAUUCCCAGUGUAGCGGUGAAAUGCGUAGAUAUUGGGAGGAACACCAGUGGCGAAGGCGGCUCACUGGACCGGUUCUGACGCUGAGGCGCGAAAGCGUGGGGAGCAAACGGG
rnacentral:rRNA from 1 species